rnacentral:rRNA from 1 species
UAAGAGGUCCCGCCUGCCCUGUGACUCUAAGUUUAACGGCCGCGGUAUCUUAACCGUGCGAAGGUAGCGCAAUCACUUGUCUCUUAAAUGGGGACCUGUAUGAAUGGCAUAACGAGGGCUUAGCUGUCUCCUUUCUCCAGUUAAUGAAAUUGACCUCCCCGUGCAGAGGCGGGGAUAUAUACAUAAGACGAGAAGACCCUAUGGAGCUUCAGGCACCAAAACUGAUCAUGUAAAAAACCUCUAAUAAAAGAAUACAACUUUAUGAAGCCAGUUUAAAUGCCUUUGGUUGGGGCGACCGCGGGGAAACAAAAAACCCCCAUGUGGACUGGGGCCACCUAUAACCCUAAAAGCAAGAGCUCCCGCUCUAAUUAACAGAAUAUCUGACUUUUCUGAUCCGGCCAAGGCCGAUCAACGGACCGAGUUACCCUAGGGAUAACAGCGCAAUCCCCUUAUAGAGCCCAUAUCGACAAGGGGGUUUACGACCUCGAUGUUGGAUCAGGAUAUCCUAAUGGUGCAGCCGCUAUUAAGGUUCGUU